rnacentral:lncRNA from 1 species
CUGAAUGACUGGGUAGUAAGAUGCCAUGGGAUAUUCACUGCAGCGUGUCCUGUACUGCAGAAUCAUGAGCAGAUAGUGAGACGGCCUGGAGCUGUACCAGCCCCACCUCACCCCCAAAGACCUGAUGGAUGGGGAAGAGCAGCCUCCUCUCCAGUACCACUGCCCAGGGAAGAAGCUUUCCUAGCCCCUCCUGGCUGAUGUGUACAGCAGGAGCAAGGAGUUUCUUGUAAAAAAAGCUACACUGGAUUCUCGAAGGAUUCACAGAGACCUAAAAGACAUUGACCUCAGCACCACUCUUCUAGGACCUUGGAGAAGGAUGGAAAAUGUGAAAAAUAGAAGUAAGACCCAGAAACAAAUUUCUGUCAAAGCUUCUUCAAUCAAAGAUGGCUUCUGGUCACAUGGGAAUUUUUGCUGGGAAUAUUUGGCUCUGAUAAACUUUGAGUUCUCGCUUCAGCUGAGAGUUAAACAAAACCUUGGUGUUUUCCAUUUUGAUGACAGGUGAUUUUUCACUUUUAGAAUGCUACAUUUCAAUAAAGAAGAAUUUCAAAUGCA